rnacentral:lncRNA from 1 species
GGGUAAUUAAGUUGAUGCCUAAUGGUGGAGACUUCGGGUGCUAACGAGGUCCUUUUUGGCCACUGCAGAAAUGAUUCCUGCCCCACUGGUACUUGCUGUCCUUUACCAUCGAAGCCGUCUCCUCGAACAAGUGGACAGGAGAUGUUACCAGCUCAACAUCUGCAGCCCACAGGCACCAGAUUCACCCGACCGAGCUGGGACUGACCAGCCCCGCGAUGGGCUACGGGAAAAGCCAGGCCCACCCGGAGCCUCCAGCUCUGCGAGACCCCGACGUCUGGGCGCUUCCCCGGCCGAAGAGGGCGUGAGCAGCCGGGUCUGUCGCCUUGACCGACGCUGGUUGCAGGGAGAAGAGGGGACUAAAAGCAGACCGCCGGUCCAGCGGGAACAGACCUGCAGCCUUCCCCGGUACCCGGCUGCAGCUGGGUAAAAGGU